rnacentral:rRNA from 1 species
GUGGGGAAUCUUGCGCAAUGGGCGAAAGCCUGACGCAGCCAUGCCGCGUGAAUGAUGAAGGUCUUAGGAUUGUAAAAUUCUUUCACCGGGGACGAUAAUGACGGUACCCGGAGAAGAAGCUCCGGCUAACUUCGUGCCAGCAGCCGCGGUAAUACGAAGGGGGCUAGCGUUGCUCGGAAUUACUGGGCGUAAAGGGCGCGUAGGCGGACAGCUUAGUCAGAGGUGAAAGCCCAGGGCUCAACCUUGGAAUUGCCUUUGAUACUGGCUGUCUUGAGUUUGGGAGAGGUGAGUGGAACUCCGAGUGUAGAGGUGAAAUUCGUAGAUAUAGGAAGGAACACCAGUGGCGAAGGCGACUACCUGGACUGAUACUGACACUGAGGUGCGAAAGCGUGGGGAGCAAACAGGAUUAGAAACCCCUGUAGUCC